GAUCCUGGCUCAGGAUGAACGCUAGCUACAGGCUUAACACAUGCAAGUCGAGGGGCAGCAUUUUAGUUUGCUUGCAAACUAAAGAUGGCGACCGGCGCACGGGUGAGUAACACGUAUCCAACCUGCCGAUAACUCGGGGAUAGCCUUUCGAAGAAAGAUUAAUAUCCGAUAGUAUAUUUUCUUCCGCAUGGCGAGAAUAUUAAAGUAAAUUUACGGUUUAGUUCGUAUGGGGAGGUGCGGUUCCUACUUAGUUUUGUUUGGG
rnacentral:rRNA from 1 species